GGGCUCAUGGCCUAAUGGUAAGGCGUUAGAUUUCGGUUCCCUCUCCAACUCAGGGUUCACCAGUCCUCUAAAGAUUGCAGGUUCGAUCCCUGCUGAGCUCG
rnacentral:tRNA from 1 species